rnacentral:rRNA from 1 species
AUACGGAGGGUGCAAGCGUUAAUCGGAAUUACUGGGCGUAAAGCGCGCGUAGGCGGUUUGGUAAGUCGGAUGUGAAAGCCCCGGGCUCAACCUGGGAAUUGCAUUCGAUACUGUCAGGCUAGAGUAUGGUAGAGGGAAGCGGAAUUCCAGGUGUAGCGGUGAAAUGCGUAGAUAUCUGGAGGAACAUCAGUGGCGAAGGCGGCUUCCUGGAUCAAUACUGACGCUGAGGUGCGAAAGCGUGGGGAGCAAACAGGAUUAGAAACCCCAGUAGUCC